UCUCGUCUGGUGGUUCUUGGAUCCAUCACCAGCUGGAGCCACAAGACAGAGGAAGAAGGUGGAGGACGGACUAAGUGUACCACGAUCUGACAGCCCCGAAAAUAUCGGCCUGAGGCAUCGGAAGCUUCAAGGAACAACAACACAUCUCCAUGGCAAGCUCAGACUCGACCGUACAGACCCGUCCGGUCUCGUCUACGACUCCGUUAACUGAGAAACGCCGCCGACCCGCGGGAGGCACUUUCCCCAUCAAUGCCUAAAGUGGACCUGAACCUUUGGACCUGAUGUGAACUAGAAUGAAGCUGGCUGGACCUCAAGUACUCUGUGGAAGCUUCAAGGACCAACAACACAUCUCGGUAUGACAAGUUGAGACUCGACCGUACAGACCCGUCCGGUCUCGCAUACGACGCCGUUAACGGCAAACGGAGAAACGACGCCGCUGACCCGCGGGAGGUACUUUCUCCAUCACUGCCAAAAGUGGACCUGAAAUUUUGGACCUGAUGUGAACUAGAAUGAAGUUGGCUGGAUAUAAAGUUAACUGGACCUGCAGCGAAGUGGACCUGAAGCUAACUGGACCUCAAGUAGUCUGUGGAAGCUUUAAGGACCAACAACACAUCUCGGUACGACAAGUCGAGACUCGACCGUACAGACCCGUCCGGUCUCGCACACGACGCCGUUAACGGCAAACGGAGAAACGCCGCUGGGAGGCACUUUCUCCAACACUGCCUACAGUGGACCUGAUGUGAACUAGAAUGAAGUUGGCUGGACAUGAAAUUUACUGGACCUCAAGUAGUCUGUGGUAUUGUAUUUAAUAUUGUUGUGGUACUUUGAAUGUUAGGAAAGUUCUACAGGCAUUCCCC